UACGGGGGGGGCAAGCGUUGUUCGGAAUUACUGGGCGUAAAGGGCUCGUAGGCGGCCAACUAAGUCAGACGUGAAAUCCCUCGGCUUAACCGGGGAACUGCAUCUGAUACUGGAUGGCUUGAGAUUGGGAGAGGGAUGCGGAAUUCCAGGUGUAGCGGUGAAAUGCGUAGAUAUCUGGAGGAACACCGGUGGCGAAGGCGGCAUCCUGGACCAACACCGACGCUGAGGAGCGAAAGCCAGGGGAGCAAACGGG
rnacentral:rRNA from 1 species